ACCUCAUCGCCGAGGUCGGGGCGGCCGCCGCGUUGGGCGUCAAGGGGGCCCUGGAGGGCCUCUCCGGACCGCCUCCGCCGGUGAAGGUGUUUGGUGACCAAUAAAUCUGCCUGGUUGAACUGGUGGAAUCGAAUUAGUAAUUGUCCUGGGAACGCCUGCAGAAGAAGAUGGUGGUGGCAAAAUUGAUUUAAUUGAAGCAGGGGCUUUUAAAAAUCUUGAUGUUGUUUUUAUGGCCCAUCCAUCCCAAGAGAAUGCUGCCUAUCUACCGGAUGUGGCUGAACAUGAGUAAGUAAUUGAGUUUAAGAUAAACUUCUUAGUAGAAA